GCUGAGGUAGCUCAACUGGUAGAGCAAUCGCUUCGUAAGCGAUAGGUUGUGGGUUCGAGUCCCAUCCUCAGCU
rnacentral:tRNA from 1 species